rnacentral:lncRNA from 1 species
AAAAAAUUAAAAAAAGAAAAGAAAAAAAGGAAAAACAAGACCAAACUGGGCUACUUGCCUGUUCUAGGACCUGAGAGUGACAAGUUCCCCUGCAGGUGGCCAGGGCCUCCUGGGUUCAGUGCAAGGCAGCCUUGGCUUGUAGCCAGCCGCCUCCCGCAGGGGCAUGUGGGGACCCAAGGCAGUGCCCGCCCGAGAAAGCGCCCCUCCGCUGGUCUCUGGGGACUCCACUUGCCACUUUGUGUCCCAUUUAGUCCUUGGCCACGUCCGCCGGGUGCCCUUCCCUCUGCCACCAGGAGGCAGGAGGAGAGAGGUCCUGCAGCGCCGCCUCCCCUGGGCAGGGUGAAGGCCUUUAUCUGCCUCCUUCGGCCACUGUGACUUCUGGUCUGGUCUCCAAACUGGCCUCUUCCUCAUUCCAGUUCCAUCUGUCCUUCCUUCCUUCCUUCCUUCCCUCCUUCCCUUUCCCAGAGAUUGAACCCAGAGGUGCUCAACCACUGAGCCCUUUUUAUUUUUCUUUAUUUUGUGGUAGGGUCUCGCUACAUUGCUGAGGCUGGCCUUGAAGUUGGGAUCCUCCUGCCUCAGCCUCCAGAGCCUCUGGGAUUACAGGCGUGCGCCACCGCGCCCGGCCUGUAAAACUGGAAAAACGCCACACGACACGACACAGAUUACCAAAGAGGUUUCCACUUUAUUACAAAAGGCUGUGUGUUUAUGUAGGUCUAAGGAGAGGUCGCAGGGCUGAGGUAGAUAACAGGUCGCCCGUCUAUUGGCAAGCUCUUCCAUAUGUCAGUUCCGGAGCCCAAGAAGUUAAUUCUAAAUAGGAGGUUUUUUUUUUUUUUAAUAUUUACUUUUUUUUAGUUUUCGGCGGACACAACAUCUUUGUUUGUAUGUGGUGCUGAGGAUCGAACCCGGGCCGCAUGCAUGCCAAGUCGAGCGCGCUACCGCUUGAGCCACAUCCCCAGCCCAAGAAGUUAAUCCUAAUUGGGGCUAAGGCUUCCCACCAGCAGGGUUUGAACAUUGGCGCCACGCCAUGUUGGGUUUUUUUCCUGGGGUGCUGCGCCGUUAUAUGUUUUCCCAACACGGCCACCUGUGCUUUCCAGGUUCUGACUUUUACUACUUAUUUUCAGAAACCCCCAUGGCCACCAGACGGGCUUCCUGUCAUUUUCACAGGUGUCUUCCAGAUUCUUCCCUCCACACACUCAGUUCCCUUCUCCUGAGCCCCUCCUGGCAACCCCCAUAUUCUGAAAUCCUGCCUCCCUCCAGGACCCACUCUCCUCCUGGAAGUCCCCUGGCCAGGGACCUGCCACUCCCUGCUGUGCAUCGUCAGGCUGGGGAAGUCACCCCACACUCCCGUAGCUGCGCCCUCACACGCCUUGGGAAGGGACCCACGGGGGCUCUGUGUGCGUGUCUACCCAGCACUGCCCCGCAGGACCGCAGACGCUGAACAAGCAGCUGUUCACGGGUCAGUCUCCCUGUCCUCAGGCCCCGCAGUGGGGGUGAGCGGCUGUGGGCCCCACCCGGCUCCCUGGUCCUCACACUGAACAGCCAACACGCGUUGAACCCUUACUCUGUGCCAGCACCGACCUUUGUGUUCGAGGAUCGGAUUCUCAGACAUGGAAAGGGCUGAGCCCCGUGGACUGCUGGUGAGUGUCCUGUCGUGCAGGAAGCGCACCUGUGUGAGCAGGCCCAGCUGAAGAAACCGCGCAUCACCAGCACCCACAGCCCACAUCUCCUCACACUCCUCCCUUCCUCCACAAGGAGGCUAGCUCCAUCCUGACUUCUCACCAAGGACCAGUUUGGCCUGUUUGAACUUUUAUAAGUGGGAGGACACAGCAUUCUUCUGUGUCUGGCCUCCUUUGUUCGACGUUGUGUUUAUGAGGUUUGUCUGUGUUAUUGCAGCUGGUUUAUUUUCAUGGCUAUGUAAUACUCCACUGGUUGGAUCCACUGUGAGUCAUCCAUUGUACUCUGAAUGAACAUUUGGGAUUUUGGUUCCAGUUGUGCCUUGUAACAAGUAAUUCUGGGAGGGCUGGGAUUGUGACUCAAUGGCAAAGCACUUGCCUAGCCACGUGUGAGGCACUGGGUUCAAUCUUCAGCACCACAUAAAAAACAUAAAUAAAUAAAACAAAGGUAUUGUGUCCAUCUACAACUAAAAAUAUUAAAAAAACAAAAACCAAGUAAUUCUGGGAGUCCCAGUGUGCAAUCAGUUAGC